ACACCUGCUAACCAAGGAAUUUUCUAUAUUCAGCAUGAAGUUGGCAGUAUAUUUAGGAAGUUUCUAGAAUCAGAAGGCUUUGAAGAAAUCCAUACUCCAAAAUUGAUAGCAGGAACUAGUGAAGGUGGUUCUGCUGUAUUUAAGCUGGACUACAAGGGGCAAUCUGCAUGCUUGGCACAGUCUCCUCAGCUUCACAAGCAAAUGGCUAUUUGUGGUGACAAAGAGCGUGUUUUUGAGGUUGGGCCUGUUUUCAGAGCAGAGGAUUCUUACACUCAUAGGCAUCUGUGUGAAUUUGUUGGUCUUGAUGUUGAAAUGGAGAUUAAAAAACACUAUUCUGAGGUCAUGGAUAUUGUUGAUCGAUUAUUUGUCACAGUUUUUAACCAUUUGAAUGAGAAGUGCAAAAAGGAACUUGAUGCUGUUCGGCGGCAAUAUCCCUUUGAACCUUUGAAGUACCUGCGAAAAACUCUACGGCUCAGAUUUGAAGAAGGGGUUCAAAUGCUCAAGGAUGCAGGAGUGGAAAUUGAUCCUUAUGGGGACUUGAAUACAGAGUCAGAGAGAAAAUUAGGCCAGCUAGUUUUGGAGAAGUAAUUCAACAUUUUGUGAUUUUCCAUAGUGCCUAAUUGACCUGCAUAUUGUUCUCUGUUUUAGUCCGUGCUAAUGAGUGGACAAAUAUUUGCUUCUGAUCACAGGUAUGGUACUGAGUUCUACAUUCUUCAUCGCUAUCCUUUGGCUGUUAGGCCAUUCUACACUAUGCCAUGUUAUGAUGAUACAAAGUACAGUAAUUCGUUUGAUGUCUUUAUUCGAGGUGAGGAAAUAAUUUCAGGAGCUCAACGUGUUCAUGUACCAGAGUUGCUGGAAGAACGUGCAAAGGCGUGUGGCAUUGAUGUCAAUACAAUAACAACGUACAUUGAUUCUUUCAGGUAUGGUGCGCCUCCACACGGUGGGUUUGGGGUGGGAUUAGAGCGUGUGGUAAUGUUAUUCUGUGGUCUGAAUAACAUUCGCAAGACAUCACUUUUCCCUCGUGACCCACUAAGGCUUGCCCCUUGAUGUGUUUCGGCUGAGCCUCACGCUUUGUUUUGCUAAGAUUAUAAUUUUUUUCCUCUUAGGAAGUUUAGCUUACAUAAGUGGAAAAACCAUUUAUAUAAGAGCCUGUCUUGAGAUGAUCUCUUCUCAAUACAAAGCGAUGUGAAGGUCUAUUUCAAGUCAAGUUACAAAUGGGUGGGUAUAUUAAAUCCUCUGUAUGCACUUUUAUUGAGGUUAUUAUUUCUUGGUUUUCUUUUACUUUACUGUAAUUGAAAUCAGCCCUACUGAAAUGAUCGUCAGUUUGUUUCCAGCUAAGAGCACCAAGCGAUACCUGCUGCAUGUAUUUAUCAAGUUUCAGGAAUAAUAACAUUUAAUAUUAAUGGAUCUUUUCUUUUGCAGAAUGUCGAUGAAUAAAUUAGAUGCUGAAAUGUAUAUAUGUAUGUGGAAUUGCAGAGUCCAUAUUCUGAAAAAGGCCACAAAUUAUUGGCAUUUUGAGCGGCGUGUACGGUUAUUGGGUAGCUGAAUUGAAUCCAAGACCUGUGCUUUACUAAACCAAUUAAAAUUGUAUUAAACUGUAGUUAUUUUACUCAUUUGAUUUUAUUUUAAAUUCAAAGGAUUAUUUAUUAUUUAAUUUUACUAAUGUAAUAUUACAUAUAUUAUUGUUAUUUUUAUUUUUAUAAUCAUUCUAUAAAAUUU
rnacentral:misc_RNA from 1 species